rnacentral:rRNA from 1 species
UACGUAGGGGGCAAGCGUUGUCCGGAUUUAUUGGGCGUAAAGAGCGUGUAGGCGGCCAGACAGGUCAGCUGUGAAAACUCGAGGCUCAACCUCGAGACGUCGGUUGAAACCGUCUGGCUAGAGUCCGGAAGAGGAGAGUGGAAUUCCCGGUGUAGCGGUGAAAUGCGCAGAUAUCGGGAAGAACACCCGUGGCGAAGGCGGCGACCUGGUCCGAUACUGACGCUGAGGCGCGAAAGCGUGGGGAGCAAACGG